rnacentral:rRNA from 1 species
GAUGAACGCUGGCGGCGUGCUUAACACAUGCAAGUCGAACGAACAGACCAGGAGUUUGUUGGGUGGUCGUUAGCGGCGCACGGGAGUAAAACGUGUGUAUCAUCCACUUAUCAGACUGGGAUCUCCUCGGAAAACGGGAGCUAACACGGGAUGAUAUUCUGAUGCGCGGGGGGCGAAAGUGAAAGUCGGUGUUGGCGGCUGUUAUAGCUGGAUCUGCGCUGCAUGAGCUGGUUGGUGGGGUAACGGCUUACCAAGGCAAUGAUGGAUAGCCGGCCUGAGAGGGUGACCGGCCACAAUGGGACUGAGAUACGGCCCAGACUCCUACGGGAGGCAGCAGUGGGGAACAUUGCACAAUGGGCGGAAGCCUGAUGCAGCAACGCCGCGUGCGGGAUGACGGCCUUCGGGUUGUAAACCGCUUUCGCCGGUGACGAAGCGUGAGUGACGGUAAUUGGUAAAGAAGCACCGGCUAACUACGUG